CCUACGGGAGGCAGCAGUGAGGAAUAUUGGUCAAUGGGCGCGAGCCUGAACCAGCCAAGUAGCGUGAAGGAUGACUGCCCUACGGGUUGUAAACUUCUGUUAUAAAGGAAUAAAGUGAGGCACGUGUGCCUUUUUGUAUGUACGUUAUGAAUAAGGAUCGGCUAACUCCGUGCCAGCAGCCGCGGUAAUACGGAGGAUCCGAGCGUUCUCCGGCUGGAUUGGGUUUACAGGGAGCGUAGAGGGGUUGUUAAGUCAGUUGUGAACGUUUGCGGCUCAACCGUAAAAUUGCAAUUGAUACUGGCAGCCUUUAGUACAGUUGAGGUAGGCGGCCUUCGUGUUGUAGCGGU
rnacentral:rRNA from 1 species